rnacentral:rRNA from 1 species
AGCAGCCGCGGUAAUUCCAGCUCCAAUAGCGUAUAUUAAAGUUGUUGCAGUUAAAAAGCUCGUAGUUGAAUUUCGGGAUCAAUAUGCCGGUCAUGCCUUGGUAUGCACUGGUAUCUUUGAUUUCUCCCUUCUGACGAACUUUGAUGUCAUUAAUUUGGUGUCAUAGGGAAUCAGGACUGUUACUUUGAAAAAUUAGAGUGUUUAAAGCAGGCUCACGCUUGAAUACAUUAGCAUGGAAUAAUGAAAUAGGACGUUUGAUUCUAUUUUGUUGGUUUCUAGGAUCGACGUAAUGAUUAAUAGGGAUAGUUGGGGGCAUUAGUAUUCAAUUGUCAGAGGUGAAAUUCUUGGAUUUAUUGAAGACUAACUACUGCGAAAGCAUUUGCCAAGGAUGUUUUCAUUAAUCAAGAACGAAGUUAGGGGAUCGAAGACGAUCAGAUACCGUGUAGUCUU